GGGAGCCCGGAGAUGGGUACUGAGNCAAGGACCCAGGCNNNACGGGGCGCAGCAGUCGCGAAAACUCCGCAAUACGCGAAAGCGUGACGGGGCUAUCCCGAGUGCCGUCCGCUGAGGAUGGCUUUUCCCCAGUGUAUAAAGCUGGGGGAAUAAGGAGAGGGCAAGCCUGGUGUCAGCCGCCGCGGUAAUACCAGCUCUCCGAGUGGUGGGGAUGCUUAUUGGGCCUAAAGCAUUCGUAGCCGGUUGGGCAAGUCCUCCGUUAAAUCCACCGAUUCAAUCGUUGGACUGCAGGGGAUACUGUCCGGCUAGGGGGCGGAAGNNGNNGACGGUAUUCUCGGGGUAGGGGUGAAAUCCUAUAAUCCCGGGAGGACCACCAGUGGCGAAGGCUGUCGGCUAGAACGCGCCCGACGGUGAGGGAUGAAAGCUGGGGGAGCGAACCGGAUUAGAUACCCGGGUAGUCCCAGCUGUAAACGAUGCAGGCUAGGUGUUGGCGCGGCUACGUGCCGCUCCAGUGCCGCAAGGGAANNNNUUAAGCCUGCCGCCUGGG
rnacentral:rRNA from 1 species